GCGGCUUUCGUAUAGUGGUUAUUACAGCUCGUUGUGGUUUCUCUUGUCCUGGAAAUAGCAAGUGCUGUUGCCGAGCAAACGGAUGUUCGAUUCCUCCAGGCCGCA